rnacentral:rRNA from 1 species
ACGUACGCUGGCGGCACGCCUAACACAUGCAAGUCGAACGAAGUAGCAAUACUUAGUGGCAGACGGGUGAGUAACAUGUAGGUAUCUGCCCUUUGGCCUGGAAUAACACGAGGAAACUUGUGCUAAUACCGGAUAAGUCUUUACGGAGAAAGCUUUAUGCACCAUUGGAUGAGCCUGCACUUGAUUAGUUUGUUGGUGGGGUAAUGGCCUACCAAGACUGUGAUCAAUAGCUGAUUUGAGAGGAUGAUCAGCCACAUUGGGACUGAGACACGGCCCAAACUCCUACGGGAGGCAGCAGUGGGGAAUCUUGCACAAUGGAGGAAACUCUGAUGCAGCGAUGCCGCGUGAGUGAAGAAGGCCUUUGGGUUGUAAAGCUCUUUCGUCGGGGAAGAAAAUGACUGUACCCGAAUAAGAAGGUCCGGCUAACUUCGUGCCAGCAGCCGCGGUAAUACGAAGGGACCUAGCGUAGUUCGGAAUUACUGGGCUUAAAGAGUUCGUAGGUGGUUGAAAAAGUUGGUGGUGAAAUCCCAGAGCUUAACUCUGGAACUGCCAUCAAAACUUUUCAGCUAGAGUAUGAUAGAGGAAAGCAGAAUUUCUAGUGUAGAGGUGAAAUUCGUAGAUAUUAGAAAGAAUACCAAUUGCGAAGGCAGCUUUCUGGAUCAUUACUGACACUGAGGAACGAAAGCAUGGGUAGCGAAGAGGAUUAGAUACCCUCGUAGUCCAUGCCGUAAACGAUGUGUGUUAGACGUUGGAAAUUUAUUUUCAGUGUCGCAGCGAAAGCGAUAAACACACCGCCUGGGGAGUACGACCGCAAGGUUAAAACUCAAAUGAAUUGACGGGGACCCGCACAAGUAGUGGAGCAUGUGGUUUAAUUCGAAGAUACGCGCAGAACCUUACCAACACUUGACAUGUUCGUCGCGACUCUAAGAGAUUAGAGUUUUCGGUUCGGCCGGACGAAACACAGGUGCUGCAUGGCUGUCGUCAGCUCGUGUCGUGAGAUGUUGGGUUAAGUCCCGCAACGAGCGCAACCCUCACUUUUAGUUGCCAUCAUUAAGUUGGGCACUCUGAAAGAACUGCCAGUGAUAAGCUGGAGGAAGGUGGGGAUGACGUCAAGUCCUCAUGGCCCUUACGUGUUGGGCUACACACGUGCUACAAUGGUAUCUACAACAGGAAGCAAGACUGCGAAGUUAAGCAAAUCCCUAAAAGAUACCUCAGUUCGGAUUGCACUCUGCAACUCGAGUGCAUGAAGCUGGAAUUACUAGUAAUCGUGGAUCAGCGUGCCACGGUGAAUGCGUUCCCGGGUCUUGCACUCACCGCCCGUUC